rnacentral:rRNA from 1 species
AUUGAACGCUGGCGGCAGGCUUAACACAUGCAAGUCGAGCGGGGGAGGUUGCUUCGGUAACUGACCUAGCGGCGGACGGGUGAGUAAUGCUUAGGAAUCUGCCUAUUAGUGGGGGACAACAUCUCGAAAGGGAUGCUAAUACCGCAUACGUCCUACGGGAGAAAGCAGGGGACCUUCGGGCCUUGCGCUAAUAGAUGAGCCUAAGUCGGAUUAGCUAGUUGGUGGGGUAAAGGCCUACCAAGGCGACGAUCUGUAGCGGGUCUGAGAGGAUGAUCCGCCACACUGGGACUGAGACACGGCCCAGACUCCUACGGGAGGCAGCAGUGGGGAAUAUUGGACAAUGGGGGGAACCCUGAUCCAGCCAUGCCGCGUGUGUGAAGAAGGCCUUUUGGUUGUAAAGCACUUUAAGCGAGGAGGAGGCUACUGGUAUUAAUACUACCGGAUAGUGGACGUUACUCGCAGAAUAAGCACCGGCUAACUCUGUGCCAGCCGCCGCGGUAAAAC